CCUACGGGAGACAGCAGUGAGGAAUAUUGGUCAAUGGACGAGAGUCUGAACCAGCCAAGUAGCGUGAAGGAUGACUGCCCUAUGGGUUGUAAACUUCUUUUAUAUGGGAAUAAAAUGUUCCACGUGUGGGAUUUUGUAUGUACCAUAUGAAUAAGGAUCGGCUAACUCCGUGCCAGCAGCCGCGGUAAUACGGAGGAUCCGAGCGUUAUCCGGAUUUAUUGGGUUUAAAGGGAGCGUAGGUGGAUUGUUAAGUCAGUUGUGAAAGUUUGCGGCUCAACCGUAAAAUUGCAGUUGAAACUGGCAGUCUUGAGUACAGUAGAGGUGGGCGGAAUUCGUGGUGUAGCGGUGAAAUGCUUAGAUAUAACGAAGAACUCCGAUUGCGAAGGCAGUUCACUGGACUGCAACUGACACUGAGGCUCGAAAGUGUGGGUAUCAAACAGGAUUAGAUACCCGGGUAGUC
rnacentral:rRNA from 1 species